GCCCGCUGAAUUCCCGAGGCGUGGAGCCGUGUCAAAAUAUUCCCAAAACAUUGCCGGAAUCGGAACAGCACGGGGUGGAUCAGAUGAGCGGCCUUCUACGACAUUGCUUCAAGCCCCGGAUUAGCGGCAGUGUGAGCACAGUUUCCUCCGGGUGCUAAACACAACUGGGAAGCACCCACAGCCACAGAUUCCAGGCUGAUAUGCAUGCAGAUGAUGGAGCUCUAACUUCCCCUCCACCGGAUUCACUGGAGUAGCCUUGAUGUGGAUAUCCUGCCGCCCACUCUGUGCUGUAAUUCCUGCUGUCGCUCAGCGCUGCAGCUCAGUCAGAUCAUUUCAACGAGACAGUCACAGGAUGAGAGAGGAGAGGGCGGGCAGGGUCCAUUGGACCUGGCUGGGUCUGAUGCCAUAACCCUGUUGAUGCUCCGCCCACUCCUCCUCUCUGCCUCCAUCUGCCUGAUGGAUCAUGGAGGUCUGGAUCGUGGUCCAUGCCUACUACCAACUGUUCAUACACUGUCAUAUUCAUUGAAUGUGUUGUAACUUUGUAAUAAUUCAUUCUGUAUUCAUGACAUCUCUUGCUUCUGUCCAUCCUGGAGAGGGAUCCUCCUCUGUUGCUCUACUGAAGGUUUCUUCCCUUUUUUUUCCCCGUGAGUUUUUUUUCUAUUUUUUGGGAGUUUUUGCUGAUCCGAUGUGAGGUCAAAGGUCAGGGAUGUCGUAUGUGUGCAGAUUGUUAAACCCUCUGAUGCUAAUUUGUGACAAUGGGCUAUACAAAAUAAACUGAAUUGAAAAAUGAAA